rnacentral:tRNA from 1 species
GUGGCUCAGUGGUAGAGAACAUGCCUUGCAUGCAGGCGGUCCCAGGUUCAAUCCCUGGAACU